rnacentral:rRNA from 1 species
GAUGAACGCUAGCUAUAGGCUUAACACAUGCAAGUCGAGGGGAAACGGCAUUAUGUGCUUGCACAUUCUGGACGUCGACCGGCGCACGGGUGAGUAUCGCGUAUCCUACCUUCCCUCCACUCGGGGAUACCCCGUUGAAAGACGGCCUAAUACCCGAUGUUGUCCACAUAUGGCAUCUGACGUGGACCAAAGAUUCAUCGGUGGAGGAUGGGGAUGCGUCUGAUUAGCUUGUUGGUGCGGGUAACGGCCCACCAAGGCGACGAUCAGUAGGGGUUCUGAGAGGAAGGUCCCCCACAUUGGAACUGAGACACGGUCCAAACUCCUACGGGAGGCAGCAGUGAGGAAUAUUGGUCAAUGGACGUAAGUCUGAACCAGCCAAGUAGCGUGCAGGAUUGACGGCCCUAUGGGUUGUAAACUGCUUUUGUUGGGGAGUAAAGUGAGGCACGCGUGCCUUUUUGCAUUUACCCUUCGAAUAAGGACCGGCUAAUUCCGUGCCAGCAGCCGCGGUAAUACGGAAGGUCCAGGCGUUAUCCGGAUUUAUUGGGUUUAAAGGGAGUGUAGGCGGUCUGUUAAGCGUGUUGUGAAAUUUAGGUGCUCAACAUUUAACUUGCAGCGCGAACUGGCGGACUUGAGUGCACGCAACGUAUGCGGAAUUCAUGGUGUAGCGGUGAAAUGCUUAGAUAUCAUGACGAACUCCGAUUGCGAAGGCAGCGUACGGGAGUGUUACUGACGCUUAAUCUCGAAUGUGCGGGUAUCGAACGGG